CCAAGUUAAUAUAUAUUAAAAUCUGUAUUUUUCAUAUAUAAGGAUUAAUCAACACAAAUAAAUUGUGCAAUUUGAUAUAUCCUUAACUUUAUGAUGAAAUUUAGGGUUUGUCCUAUAACUAAUGCCAGAUUUUAGAUCACAACUAUAUAGCCAGAAAAUUGAUACAUCAUUUAUUCAAACACACUUGUUUGUCUUCACAGCAGGAUAUUGUCUAAUGACCACAAUAUUGUAGAAGACUGACCAGAAAUAACCAGCUGUGGACUAUGACUCUUCUAUGGAUUGCAAAAUACUGAUAAAAAUAAAUAGAUUGUUAUCAGUCAGUGGAAAACUGUCUAUUGACUUUUGAAUUUACAUACAGAAGAUCCCCCCUUUUUUCUAAAAUUUUAAAAAUAGUCCUAAUACA
rnacentral:lncRNA from 1 species